UCAAGCGUGCGCAGGCGGUUAUGUAAGACAGAUGUGAAAUCCCCGGGCUCAACCUGGGAACUGCAUUUGUGACUGNAUGGCUAGAGUAUGGNAGAGGGGGGUNGAAUUCCACGUGUAGCAGUGAAAUGCGUAGAUAUGUGGAGGAANACCGAUGGCGAAGGCANCCCCCUGGNUCANUACUGACGCUCAUGCACGAAAGCGUGGGGAGCAAACAGGAUUAGAUACCCUGGUAGUCCACGCCCUAAACGAUGUCUACUAGUUGUCGGGUCUUAAUUGACUCGGUAACGCAGCUAACGCGUGAAGUAGACCGCCUGGGGAGUACGGUCGCAAGAUUA
rnacentral:rRNA from 1 species